AACAGAGCAGCAGGUAUCGGCCGGCAGUAAACGUCGGUGCUCGGUAAUUAUUGACCGUGCGGAUAAAACAAGUCCGACACGUCGCCGCAAGUAACGUGCCUGCUAACGAAAUGUCACGGUGUAACUUUGUGUUACACAUUGUAUGCAAUCGCGGGCACGAAAGGCCGAUCGGAUCGGUUCGCAUCUUGUCAUGAGAUUCGACACAAUUUUGACGUAAACUGUGAGAGGCGGAUGAUAAUUCAAUCAAAAACGCCAAUCAAUCAGUGUCAACCAAUUAAUAAAAAUGAUUUUACGAUCAAAGAUAUAAAUCAAUUCAAAAAAAGGAAGAAAGAACGCGUAUAAUCGAUUAAUCCGCGGCACCGGAUUAAUUACAGAGCAUGGAGCUCGAGCGAUCAGUCUAGCAACAUUCUUAAUUGCAAUUACCUGUUAUGACUGAGUGUCGCGUUCGUUAAUAAUAUAAGAGACUCCCAAAGUUAUAAUACUUUUAACGAUUAUUAUAAUG